rnacentral:lncRNA from 1 species
UAUUGACCAAUCGGGUAAUUAAUCGGAUAAAUGAGCAAUUAAUUGCUAUUAAUUCACAUGAUUAUAACUAUUUGUUCACAUGUGUGUACUAUUGAUUCAAAUUCAUUUACUAUUAGGGGAGUUGGUGUAAGAUUGAUAAUACUUGCAUGACUAAAUUAAAAAUGGAGGUAUAGAUGGAGGUACUAUACUGUAAUUCAUAUUUUCACAUGUCUAGAACUAUUAAUUCACAUGAUUUACUAUUAGGGGAGGUGGUGCAAGUUUGAUAAUACUUGUAGGACUAAAUUAAAAAUGAAGGAAAAGAGGAAGGUAUUAUACUGUAAUAUUUCGAGCCCCAAAACGUGCAAUUAUCGAAACAAUAUUUUCCUAUAAAUAGAAGCUCAUUCUUCUUUCAUUUCUCACCAAUUCACUAAAGCUAUAGAGCAAUUAUUAUAGAGAGCAAUUAUAAAGAGAAAGAAGAAGAGAAGUCUGCUAUCUCACUAUUCAUGUAUCCAGUCUUCUUUUGAGGUAAGGGGUAUUAUUUCUUUCGUAUUCAUGAAGAGAGCUAUUGUUAUUCCAUCCCUUAUUAUUCUGUUGGAAUAACCUGUAUACACGGACUACCGUAUACAUGGUGAAAUUUUUCUGUUAUUCCAUUCUUUAUUAUUCUGUUGGAAUAUCCUGUCUGUGCGGAUUAUGCAUGACCUGGUUCUAUUCUUUAUUAUUCUGUUGGAAUAACCUGUUGGUGCGGAUUACGUAUGACCUGGUUAAUUCUUCUGUUAUUCCAUUCUUUAUUAUUCUGUUGGAAUAACCUGUCGGUGCGGAUUACGCAUGACUUGAUGAAUUCUUUUGUUAUUCCAUUCUUUAUUCUGUUGGAAUAACCUGUCGGUGCGGAUUACGCAUGAUCUGGUGAAUUCUUCUGUUACUCCAUUCUUUAUUAUUCUGUUGGAAUAUCCUAUCGGUGUGGAUUACGCAUGACUUGGUUCCAUUCUUUAUUAUUCUGUUGGAAUAUCCAGUCUGUGCGGAUUACGCAUGACCUGGUUCCAUUAUUUAUUAUUCUGUUGGAAUAACCUAUCUGUGCGGUCUAUCGCAUGCAUGGUGAAUUCUUCUAUUAUUCUAUUAUUUAUUAUUCUGUUGGAAUAACUUGUCUAUGUGAAUUACCACAUGCAUGGUGAAUGAUCCUUCGUAUUCAUUCCUUAUUAAAUUGUGGAAAUGAUCUGUCUACGUGGAUUACCGCAUGGCGGGAAAAAAUCCAUUUGUAGUUUCAUAUAUUCUAUUAUACUCAGUUGGUUAAAGUUUUGGCUUCUAUACUCCAUGAAAUUAGUAGAAUACCCUGGAUAUUUGCGCUUCAUCCAGUAUCUUUUCAUGGAAAUAUUCUUCUGAGCAUUCUUGAAUUUUACUCUACAAAGCAGUUAUGUUGACAAUUUGGACGUUAUUGAUUUCAGGAUAAAUUAGAUUAUAAAUCUGUAAAAUUUAUCCUUGAACUUGUUUUAUUGAAUUAUUAUGUCAUUGUCAUCAUCCUCAUGCUUAUAUUGUGAUGAAAGUCAUCUUUGGCUUACGUGCAUAGAUGGACUUAGUAUGAUUAUGACCGGGGAUUAUUCGGUAUAAUCAUGACCGUAAUGUAAGGAAUGAUGUGGUAAAAGUCCUCAUUGGCCUGUAGUGCAUUGAUGGACAGUUGUUGGUAUGAUUAUGACCAGGGAUUAUUUGGUAUAAUCAUGACCAUUGAUGAUUACAUGAAUAUCCUUGGCCGUGGUGCAGGGAUGAUUCGAUGAUGUGGUUUAUUUAUUAAGCUGAGUCUCAGCAAUAAAGUUGAUGAAAAACUUUUUAAAUCAUAGAAGUUGUAGAUUUUAUGCUCUACUUGACUCUUCUAAUGGAUUGCUUGUUCCGCUGCAAUUGUUGAUCUAAAACUUGUUGUCUAUUAUAUUCUAUCAGUUGUUAUACUGUUGAAGGCUAAGGAUAAUUUAUUCUGCAUUAUCUUAGUCAUAAUAUUUCUUACUAGGCUAGUUGAGCUCACCCUUUCUUUCAUUGUUCUCUUCAGAAAAUGAGAAUAUAGCUGGGACGAGUCGGGGAAUGGAGUGAUGGUCCAGGAUAAAUGGCUUUAGUAGUCCUCAUAUUCUACGGAAUAAUGUGAUAAUAAUUGUAAUGAGGACUCCAUUGAGUGUGGAUAUUAUCUAGAUGACAAUAUUCUUGUUUAAACUCUCAGCUAUGUUUUGUCGUAUUUUACCCGACUGUUGUAUAAUUAAGUUAUAUUUGAAUUUAUGUGCCAUGUAUCUAGCGACUCAAGAUGGGUGAUGUAUACCUGUUUUGGGGGUGUCACAACGGCAUUCAAACAGGUAGUCCAAUCUCAGAUGUAACCCUGAGCAACGUCUGCUUUCAACUCAAACCGUCGAUAACCCCGGUGAGGAGUCAAAAGUCAUCUUGUCACCUCAACACUUACGCGUCGUCUCAAACACUUCAUACAUACAUACAUACAACAAUGUCCUACAAGAAUCGAGGAGUUACAAUCCCGAGUGACUAUUACGCGUGGCAGCACACUGGAUAGAAUUUGAAGCUUGAAGACCAUGGGCAUGGUCCCCUCUUCCUGACUUCAUACAACCUCUAAUCCCAUGUCAUUCCGUAACUCUCGACACAAGCGGUCCGAAGAAGGUCGUAUAUACCUCGUUUGGAUGCUCGGAUUGAAGUUCUGCAAGUUCGAGCGGACAUUACAGUACACGUACUUUGAGACGAC